UAAGAAUGUAGUUAUGAAAUAAUGUUUUUUAUUUUAACUCUCCUAAAAUGUCUCUAUGACUAUAAGGAAAGAGCUUUUAUGUGUCUGGUUUUCACAAACAAGUUCUAAAUGGAUACAUUUUCCUGAGAUGCCUUUUAAAUGGAACAUUUCUUAUAACAUAACUAUGACUCUUAUUCUCUUCCAGUAGCUCAAAAUUAAGGACAGUUGAAACCAAAGUGUUGAAGAGAUGAAUUUAGAAAACCCAGGGACCGUUGGCAAAUUUGGUGCCCCACUAUAAGCUAUUAAUGGUUGUUAUGGCUUCCAAGCUACAUGAGCUCUGCUGGAAACUUUUAUGCUACUUGAUAGAAAACAACUUGUAAAAUGUUUCUACAGAAUUGCCUCCUGCAAUAAAUGUGCUUUCAAUCCAAGCAGUGUCACAAACAGAUGCACAGUAGAUGCCUAAUGACUGCGCUACAGGGUUUAGAAUACCCUAGACAAGAACACUCAGAGUAGAUUAUAGGAAUUGACCUUUGCUGGGUCUCAUAUUAACUGUGUACCGUGGAAGUUUUCUAGUAUGUAUGCUUCACUUCUGAACCGACUUUUGCCUGAAAUGGAAGAUCCUUUAACCCACAACAGGGAUGGGAGAUCCUUUAACCCACAACAGGAGAAUAAUUUAUUCCUCACUGCAUGGGCUUUGAUGUAUAUUUCAAAGAGUUCAGUUACAGUCAGGCAUCCUGUGUUUGCUCAGAUGCAACAGAAAACCUCUGUAUCUGGCAUGCCCUGGCAGACGAAUGUGUCCAUUUUCCUUCACAAUGAAAUAGCAUUUCAUGAAGUCCAAUUUCUCAUUAGAUCCAAAAGGCCUGCUUCCUCUGGUCAUGGGUUAAUAUAUGUUCCAUCCCUGAGAGGAUUUUGGACAGGGAAUCCAGUUCAAGGCAAGGCAGGGAAUGGGAAGUUUUCAUUUGACCUCUCAGGAUGUGAAAUCAAAGCCUCCUCAGUGGGUUUUGUGAGUCUUGUUGUAUGCUCCAUCAGGAAAUAAUUAAAAAUCCUUAGUUCCUUCAAAUGCCAAUUCACUUUUAACACCUACUGGUAUUUAUUGCAGGGGGAUUUUACUUGCCACCAUGUGAUGUUUGGAGAGAGGUAGUUUCAGGCAAUGGUUUAGACAUGUUUUUCUUUUCUUUUUUUUUUUUAGACAUGUUUUUCUAAAAAAGACUGGAAUGUUAUCAAUCAUUUUCUCUAUAGAUGAGGAUUUUUUGGAAUUCUUACUUUAAUAUUCUUCUAACACAUACGGAAAAUGUUACUUUCCCCCACCUUCGAUGUAUCUCCCUGAUGGUUGGAGGUCAGUUUCUGCCUCAAACUACCUUUCUAGAUUUUGAGACUCUGCAGCAUUAAGUUGUGAUAUUAUGAACAUAAGGACUUUUGUUUCCUCUUGAAAAUAAUGUGCUCAUGAAUCUUGGAAUGGAUUCUUAAAAAAAAAUCCAGGGUAUGUACAAAGAUGAAAAAGAUUUAUAAUUGAAUAUGGUGGCAUGGACAGAGCUUGGAAAAGGUGAGGAUUUUCUUGGUUUUCUUUGUGCUCAAAUAGAAGAGUCUGGUAGGAUUCUCUUUACCAUGACAACCCUGGUGGAAGUGCUUAUAAUUCUAUAGAUGAAAUCAUUUUUCAAUCUAGUUUCAAAUGAUGAAAGGAGACAUAAUGUAUAGGUAUUCUUAAGGACACAUACCCUCCAGGGGGAAAACAGAUAGUUGGCCUCAAAAUUCAUGUAGUAAAUGACCAAAAGAAAUUGAAUCUAUGAAAUAUUUCAUUUUUUUAGAGUUAACAUCGUCCAUAAAACAAGUGCUAAUUGUACUUGAGUUGAAUUGCCG
rnacentral:lncRNA from 1 species